ACGUGACCCAUUUUAAAGUUAUGCAAACCAUGACUAGAGACUGAAAGAACUCACCAGACAUCACAUGGUUAUCUAGGAAAAAGCUGGGAUUCAUCCAGGGUUUGACCUCCCAUUAGCCUUGGCUAUUGAGGCUCUCUCUGGUCUGCUCCAGUUCACUGAAGAUACAGAGAUGAAGAUGACCUUCAUGGAGCUUGGGCUGUAUCACUUUCAAGAUAUGGCACAACAAUGUAUGGCAUCUGAGUCAAGGUCAUGCAAGGAUCAAGCCAAAUCCCAUAUCAUGAAGUCAUUGAUGCAGUCCUAAGCAGAGGCCCUCAUGGCAGAAAAUUGAGAACUCCAGCCAACAGCCAAGCAAGUGAGCUUAGAUGUGGAUUCCCCAGCCCUGAAGAACCUUUCAAAUUGGUGCAGUCCCAGCAAAUGCCUUUACUACAACCUCUUGAGGGAUA